rnacentral:rRNA from 1 species
AAAUUGAAGAGUUUGAUCAUGGCUCAGAUUGAACGCUGGCGGCAGGCCUAACACAUGCAAGUCGAACGGUAACAGGAAGCAGCUUGCUGCUUCGCUGACGAGUGGCGGACGGGUGAGUAAUGACUGGGAAACUGCCUGAUGGAGGGGGAUAACUACUGGAAACGGUAGCUAAUACCGCAUAACGUCGCAAGACCAAAGAGGGGGACCUUCGGGCCUCUUGCCAUCGGAUGUGCCCAGAUGGGAUUAGCUAGUAGGUGGGGUAACGGCUCACCUAGGCGACGAUCCCUAGCUGGUCUGAGAGGAUGACCAGCCACACUGGAACUGAGACACGGUCCAGACUCCUACGGGAGGCAGCAGUGGGGAAUAUUGCACAAUGGGCGCAAGCCUGAUGCAGCCAUGCCGCGUGUAUGAAGAAGGCCUUCGGGUUGUAAAGUACUUUCAGCGGGGAGGAAGGUGUUGAGGUUAAUAACCUCAGC